rnacentral:rRNA from 1 species
AUUGAACGCUGGCGGCAGGCCUAACACAUGCAAGUCGAACGGUAACAGGAAUCAGCUUGCUGAUUCGCUGACGAGUGGCGGACGGGUGAGUAAUGUCUGGGAAACUGCCUGAUGGAGGGGGAUAACUACUGGAAACGGUAGCUAAUACCGCAUAACGUCGCAAGACCAAAGAGGGGGACCUUCGGGCCUCUUGCCAUCGGAUGUGCCCAGAUGGGAUUAGCUAGUAGGUGGGGUAAUGGCUCACCUAGGCGACGAUCCCUAGCUGGUCUGAGAGGAUGACCCGCCACACUGGAACUGAGACACGGUCCAGACUCCUACGGGAGGCAGCAGUGGGGAAUAUUGCACAAUGAGCGCAAGCCUGAUGCAGCCAUGCCGCGUGUAUGAAGAAGGCCUUCGGGUUGUAAGGUACUUUCAGCGAGGAGGAAGGUGUUGAGGUUAAUAACCUUAGCAAUUGACGUUACUCGCAGAAGAAGCACCGGCUAACUCCGUGCCAGCAGCCGCGGUAA